rnacentral:lncRNA from 1 species
GGAGCACUCUCACACUGAGAAGCUGAGCAGAGAGCGGUCUGCAGGAAGGAAGCCAUUACCCUCCGGACAGAGCCUUGCAGCAAAGCUCAAGACAAAGGCCCAGGACUCCUCCUCCAGGUGAUGCUGCCGUACCUGGGAGAGACCUGGAGCCUGGGACAAGCAGUCAUGGAGCUUUGGAGAUGGGCAGGAUGAACGGUAACACUUCAGUAGCAUCAUGUUGAAAGAGGCCAACAUGAUGGGCAGUGUCAGCUCUGCCACCCUGCAUCAUGGACUCCUGGUCAGCUGGAGUCCGUAAGGUCCUGCUGUGUGUGGCCACUGCUUCUCUCUCCUUUCUUUCCUCCUGUUCUUGGCCACCAGAGGUCCUCCUGUGGAGCUGGCAUCAGGGCACUCAGGCAGGGCACUGUGUGAAGGGAAAUCACAGUGGGGAAUGUGGGUAAGCAACUUGGAGUUGCUGCCAGGGUCAUCACUGGUCUGGGCACCUCCACUUAUGCAGAACGAUAGAAGCUAGAUGUUACCUGAUCUUGCAAGAAGUCUUGCAAGAGUUAGGCCAGGCCAAGACUCUGGUCCAUCUUCACCAGCUGUGCAAGCGCUGGCAGGGACUGACUGUGUCCCUGAAAAGUGAGCCUGUGCUGCCACUCACAGUGGACACCCUUGUGUGUCAGGCUAAGCCUCUUAUGCACAUUUCCUCAAUCCUCAUGCACCCCAGUGAAAGACAGACAUCAUUUCUAAUGUAGAGUUGCAGAACGGGCUGCUCAGGAGAACCAGUGUUCACUUCCUUCAUGGCUGCAUAGCUGCCUAGCGGCACAGUGAGGAUUCAAAGCCCUCUGCCGGGCUCUAAAACACAGUCAAGUGUUUACCACAGAGCUGGUAGGAGCUAAGCCUCAGGCUCCUCAUUUGGACAGGGCCCUUCAGGGCCUAGCAAUGUGAGUGUAUGGUCUGUGCUUUUAGAAAAUGUACACAAAUGGAAAACAAUACGAGGUUAAUAGAUUGUUUUCUUAGUGAGUUAGAACUAUGCUGUCUUCCUUUCCUCAAACUUGCUGCAGUGUUGGGUAGAGCUGGGCAUUUGGGGGACCAGCUAAGAGGAAUUUGGGCUGGGGACAUAACUCAGCUCGAGUUUAGUGGGAUAUGUUUGUGGGGCUGGCUCACAGUCUCUUCUGGAAAAGUUGUCACCAGCUGUCCCACUGGAGGAACAGCUUCCAGGAACAUUCUGCUCCCGGUCCCCACUCACCUACAUCCUGAUGCAAAUGUACAGAGCCACAGCCUGGGUUGCAUGUGUGAACUUGGCUUGUGUCUUCAGCACAGGAAGUAUGUGGAAAAUGGAGAAGAAACAAGAAAACAAAACAAACAAGCAAACAGAAAAACCCUUAACAAUCAAAAUUGAAUCUUUCUAUUCUCUCUAUGGAUAAUGAUCAUGUUGGGCAGCUAAUUAAUCAACUACUGUUAUUUUUCUGCAUUUCAUUAUGGCUUGUUUUAUCAGCCUUUUAAAAUUUGUAAAUUGUGGGGAUCUCUCUACAUUUCAAACAGCUACUUUUGCAGUUAAUUUUGUGCUUGUUGUUUAUUAAAAUUCCCCCCCCACCCAUUUCAUGCUAG